rnacentral:tRNA from 11 species
GCGGACGUGGCGAAACCGGUAGACGCAAGGGACUUAAAAUCCCUCGGGCUAUGCCCGUGCGGGUUCGACCCCCGCCGUCCGCACCA